rnacentral:rRNA from 1 species
GACGAACCGUGCGAACGUUAUUCGGAAUCACUGGGCUUAAAGGGUGCGUAGGCGGCGCUGUAAGUCGGGUGUGAAAUCCCUCGGCCUAACCGAGGAAUUGCGCCCGAUACUGCAGUGCUCGAGGAAGAUAGAGGUGGGCGGAACUAGCAGUGGAGCGGUGAAAUGCGUUGAUAUUGCUGGGAACACCCGUGGCGAAAGCGGCCCACUGGGUCUUUUCUGACGCUGAUGCACGAAAGCUAGGGUAGCGAACGGG